UCACAGGAAAUUUUCAGGCGUGCCCAUAAAUCUCCUCGCUGCUUGUUUGGGAGAACAGGGUUUUCUCGUCUGUAACAGAAUAGUCGUGGCAUUUGCUAUGGAAUGCUGGUGGCAGUCUAGUCAGAAGAGGACCCCGUGCUUCACUAAUUUUCCCUUUUUGCUGUUGGGGGUGACUUCUUCCCAGGGAUGUUCUUCUUGACCCCCCGGGGCAAACGGAGGCGUUCACCCGGUCAGCGUCAGGAACCAUCCUAACUGAGGCCUCGGCUCCCUCUUUCCCUUCGGUCGCCGUGGGUGUGCCGGACGCCUCUGGCAGGACUAACCCCGUGGCUUUUAUGUCCAACGUGCUGUGCUGCGUGUGCCUGCAGGUCAGAAAAGCUGGGAGUGCAGUCCCUCUGCUUUGAUUACUGUGUCUUUUUGGUAGUGAUUUUGGAGGGGAAUCCCAGAGCGAUUUGGUUUGAAGGGGACCUUCAAAGGCCAGCCUGUCUUCCGUGGGCAGGGACACCUUCCCCUAUCAUCCCCGGUUGGAUGCUCCCAGUCCCAUCCAGCCUGGCCUGGAACACUUGCAGGGAUGGGGCAGGCUCAGCUUCCGUGUGCAGUGUGUUCUAAUAUCUCUCCACUGGCAUCAGGAAAAAUGUUGUCAGCGUGUUUUGCUGGACGAUGCAUCCUGUCCAAGACCAAGCUACCUUUCUUUCCUCGUGGGAAUGGACCGGCCGGGCUUUGGCAAUCUGGCCCCUCGAAAGACUAAAGUGACCUCUUCCAGCAGGGGAAGACUGAAGCAAGGGGUGCCAGGAAGAACUGGAGUCUCUGGAGAAUAAAAGCUGGAAGCGUGCCCCCGAAAAUCCCCAGCCCCGGGUGGUCAGUGGUCUGACUUGCACGGACCGGUGGCCUUGGCCAGGAGCGGUCCUGUGGGAAGCGCCUUUGCCCAGGCUGUAAUUUUGAUUUUCUCUUGGAUGCUUGGCAAAGCCCCUCUGGGGGAGCCCCGGUGCCUGGCAGGAGCGGAGCGGGCUUGCAGGGAGGCGUUCACCCGGUCAGCGUCAGGAACCAUCCUAACUGAGGCCUCGGCUCCCUCUUUCCCUUCGGUCGACGUGGACACUGUGCCGGACGCCUCUGGCAGGACUAACCGCGUGGCUUUUAUGUCCAACGUGCUGUGCUGCGUGUGCCUGCAGAAUUGCCACGAGAGGAAAUACUUCAGAGGGGCUUCCCUCCAGAGAAGCCCUGAAUGUGCCAGGAGGUUUCAGCCGGGAGGAAAGGAGCUGUGGAAGAAAAGCAGCCUAAAAAUAGCCAGCGGGGAUCAUCAGAUUUUCCAGCCAAGAAAAACCAGGAGGGAGAUGAGGGAAUCGGGUUCCAAUUCCUAAAGAUUUGGUGGGUGUAGGAAUGAUUUCUGUGUGUUUUCCAGUCCCUUUUGAUUCCUGGGAUGAUUUUAAAAUGAUGGCUAAAUUGGAGAUGUUGUUUUUGAGAGGAAAUGAUGCCAAAUAAAUGCAGAGUUUGGGGUCA